rnacentral:rRNA from 1 species
UAACACGUAGGGGGCGAGCGUUGUCCGGAAUCAUUGGGCGUAAAGAGCUCGUAGGCGGCUCAGUCAGUCGGGUGUGAAACCCCCAGGCUCAACCUGGGGACGCCAUCCGAUACUGCUGUGGCUAGAGUCCAGUAGAGGAGUGUGGAAUUCCCGGUGUAGCGGUGAAAUGCGCAGAUAUCGGGAGGAACACCAACGGCGAAGGCAGCACUCUGGGCUGGUACUGACGCUGAGGAGCGAAAGCGUGGGUGGCAAACAGGA